UGUACAUUUCUUGAAAUUCAUUGCCAUUUGUUUAAAAUCGGCCCACUAAAUCUUGACCAUCUAUGGACUAUCUCGUCUUUGGAUGUUGGAAAUGCGAAGGCUGGUGCCAAAUGAAAGCCAAAAAUGCGAGAAUCAUGAUGGUGGUCUUAGAUCGCUUGUACAAUAGCCGAUUUAGCUGGAAAGUGCCUCAAAAUGAAGCAACUUCUCCUCCUCUGAUCUUCUCGCUCCGGUAACAAGCUUAGUUGAAGAGGAAAGCCUAUGGAGAGAAGCUCUAAAUGCCACCAAACUUUGUCUGGUUUUGCUGCCAAAAUCACUUGCAUAAGUUCAUUGAAAUUUGUCAUCAUCACCAUUAUUUCGCCUCUACUGGUGCCUGUCAUCGUGAAUCAUUGGUAUUGGGGGGAAGUGUCGCUGAUGAUGAUAGGAUCGUGGAG
rnacentral:misc_RNA from 1 species